rnacentral:lncRNA from 1 species
CUCACGAUCGCCAUAGCAGCGCAGAGGCCUCAGGAAGAACUGGGCCUCAGAAGUGGAGCGGUUCGUAUCCCCUAUCACUACCUGAGUGACAGGCAGAUGGUCCACAAAGGUCAGCAGUCCCUUGUCAGUUCUCCUGUGGGGGCAGGAUGUCAUGGCUCAGCCCCAGCCACUCAGCUCCUCCCACUCCCGGAGUCCUAAAAACCCUGUCCCUUUGCCCCCUCACCACUGGGGCUGGUCAGCGUCACAGUUGCAGUACAAGGCAGGGUCCACACAGCUCCGGUCCAGACCACAGGCACAGCGCUGGAUCCCAGGCUGGGAGCCUCCCCAGUAGAAGUGCUGCUCCUCAUUUCGGCCAAUCCAAAAGCUGUAGGGGUAGCCUCCUGGGGAAGAGGUGCAGGCAGCUUCCAGGCCCUGUCCCUCCAUUAGCCUCUGGGCUCCUCUCGCCCUUCCAGCGAGUUCAGACCCCUCCUUGAAUCUUCCAACCCAAGGCCCCAGCUGGCUCUCUGGCUUCCUUCUCCCAGGCCCCCAUUGGUGUCUCCUCCAGUUCCGCCACCUCCCUGACCCCAGCCCUAACCUGCAGUGUUGAGCAGCCGGGAAUUGUAGCAGGAGAACUCGAUCCACUGUUCACAAUGCUGGGAAGCAUUGGCAAGGGCACUGACUUCCUCCCAGGAUGCAUUCCAGUACUGGAUAGCCCCCAGGAAUGGCCGCUCCAUGCUGGAACCUGUCACUCGAGUUGUCCACAGCCUGUCAUGCCGCACAACUGUCCACGCUCGGUUCUCUGGCAGACAAGAGGGGACAGAGCUUUGGCUGGAGUUGGGCAUUCUCUACCCAUCUCCCUGCCCACCUCCACCACCGCUGCUGCAACUCAGAGCCACUGAACGUGGCCAGCAGCUCCAUUCCACCUCUGCCCUGGGCACUCUGCAUUGUAGGCUGGAAAUAAGAUAGCUGGAAUGGGUAAGGAAGCUGGGAUAUACUUUUUUUUUUUUUUUUUUUGAGAUGAAGUCUCGCUCUGUUGCCCAGGCUGGAGUCCAAUGGCGCUAUCUCAGCUCACUGCAACCUCCACCUCCCAGGUUCAAGUGAUUCUCCUGCCUCAACCUCCCGAGUAGCUUCCCAAAGUGCUGGGAUUACAGGUGUGAGCCACCACGCCUGGCUUGGGAUUUACUUUUAAGGCUAGGUUACAAAUUCCUCAGUAUGCCCUUCCCCUCUGUCCUCCUUUACCCUCACUUGUUUAGUCUAACUGGCCCCCACCCACCACUCUAUCCUUCCUGGUUCUCCCCUCACCCCCUCACCACCCAACAGAGACACUUACCUCGGAUAUCACAGUACACUACAAAUGGCUUCAGGGGGCCACUGCCAUCAGGAUCAAUGGUGAAGUUUCCAGAAGUUUUCCCACUGAGCCGAUAAGCCUCACAGGAUUCCUUAUACAAAGCUGGCAGAUAAUAGGUUGAGACAAAGGCAGUUAGAGAGUUAGAGGGCUGGCCAGGUGCGGCGGCUCGGGCCUGUAAUCCCAGCACUUUGGGAGGCCGGGGUGGUGCAUCACCCGAGGUCAGGAGUUCGAGACCAGCCUGGCCAACAUGGUGAAACCCCAUCUCUAAUAAAAAUAUAAAAAUUAGCUAGGCGUGGUGGUGUGCACCUGUAGUCCCAGCUACUUAGGAGGCUGAGGCAGGAGAAUCGCUUGAACCCAGGAGGCAGAGGUUGCAGCGAGCCCAGAUGGCACCACUGCACUCUAGCCUGGGCAACAGAGCAAGACUCUGUCUCAAAAAAACCAAAAACAAAAAGCGAGAGGGCUGGAAGGGCCAUCCUCGCCAUCUCUAGCAGCCUGAUGAUCCCCAGCAACCUUCUAUUGACCUCCCUUGUCCCUGACUCCCCCCAUACCACAUCUGGCUUACGUGUGUGGCAGGUCUCUCCCUUGUAGCCCGUCAGUUCGCAGUAGCAAAUGAAGUCAUCCCAAGACUGGUAGCAGCGUCCAUCAUGCUCACACAUGUUAGGGCUGCACCUAGGGAAGGGGUCAGGACCAAGGGAAGGAGCCUUACUGGGAGCUGGAGAGUGGGGUCUGAUCCCUGCAAGCUUCACUCCCAGCUCCUUGAAGCCCCAGAACCCGGUGAGACACACCCCGCCUAGCCAGCCGGGUAUAAGCGCAGAUGCAGGGGCACUAGGCAGUCCUCAGGGCUCAAGUACUACUAUUCCCCCUUCCUGAAAACAUCAAAACAUGCCUUAUUCUACCCCUAUCAUCCCCCUAGCACAAAAAACCCCUCUAGGACCAAAAGCAAAUGUGUCAUUUCCAUCCUGAGCAUGUAUCACCUUAAGGGAAGAAAUAGGAGGUAAGAGAUCAAAGAAGAAUCAUCCCCAAGCAGGGGACUAAGGAGCAGAGACAAGGAGAAGGGAGAUUAUUGAAAGAGGCCAUUCCUACUGGGAGACCAGGGAAGAGGGCUUUGGAGGGGUCAUCUCUUGUUAGGGGCUUCUGGGUACCUAUCAGUGAUGCCACAUGUAUCAAAGAGGACCUCAGCAUAGAAUCCAAGCCGCCGGCCCUCCACCAGAGUCAGGUUGACCAGUUGACCAUCCACCUUGAGCAGCUCCAUGCAGCCAUGGAAUGCCGUCUGGUUGGAGUGGCAGUCCCAUCGACUGGCUGGCUUGGGACAACCUGGAGCAACCACCCCUGUGAGAUCCUCCCCAGGGGAGACCCCAAAGACCCUCCCCCAGGGACAUGCUGAGGGGGAGCCAGACAUAAAGGAAGAAAGGGGACUACAACCAAAGUGUAGAUGGCAAUGACCUUCCACUCCCUGAGGCCCCAGAGGGGAAGAGGGCUUGAUCCCUCCAAAAUUCUCCAUGUGGCCCCAUCUGGGUGGACUUAGA